rnacentral:rRNA from 1 species
AUACGGAGGUGACAAGCGUUAUCCGGAUUUACUGGGCGUAAAGGGCGUGUAGGCGGUCUUGCAAGUCAGAAGUGAAAUUCCUGAGCUCAACUCGGGCGCUGCUUCUGAAACUGCAGGACUUGAGUGCUGGAGGGGAUAGCGGAAUUCCUAGUGGAGCGGUAAAAUGCGCAGAUAUUAGGAAGAACACCGGUGGCGAAGGCGGCUAUCUGGACAGUAACUGACGCUGAGGCGCGAAAGCGUGGGGAGCAAACAGGAUUAGAUCCCCUGGUAGUCCACGCCGUAAACGAUGAAUACUAGGUGUAGGGGGUAUCGACUCCCUCUGUGCCGCAGUUAACACAAUAAGUAUUCCGCCUGGGGAGUACGGCCGCAAGGUUGAAACUCAAAUGAAUUGACGGGG